ensembl:lncRNA
CUGACAGAGCAGCUGCUGGGGAAGAAGACGCUGAAAGGAAGCCUCUAGGGAUAAACAGAGAAACCCAUGGCACCACGUGGCACCCAAGGCAGAAUUCUCAUCCCCUUCACGACUGGAUAGCUGCCCACCAAGCUCAGGCUGUGUUUCUCAGCUUCUUUUGCUAUGGAGUGGAUUCUUGCCAAGGGAAUGGUUUCCUUGGGAUGUAGUACCCAAAGCUUGUGAUUAAAAACAGCUGCAGAAACAAGAGGAAAACAUCUCCUAAAAAGUGAUGCCUUGGAACACAAUGUGUGUGGACUUGUAGGAGGUGGACGAGGGUGCGUGACAGAGUGG